rnacentral:rRNA from 1 species
UACGUAGGGGGCAAGCGUUGUCCGGAAUCAUUGGGCGUAAAGCGCGUGUAGGCGGUUCAGUAAGUCUGCUGUGAAAGUCCAGGGCUCAACCCUGGGAUGCCGGUGGAUACUGCUGGGCUAGAGUACGGAAGAGGCAAGUGGAAUUCCUGGUGUAGCGGUGGAAUGCGCAGAUAUCAGGAGGAACACCUAUAGCGAAGGCAGCUUGCUGGGACGUUACUGACGCUAAGGCGCGAAAGCCAGGGGAGCAAACGGG